rnacentral:lncRNA from 1 species
CUAUAAUGUAGGACCUUAUUUGUAUAAAUACUUUCGGGUUUUAUUUAGUUUUAACACACUGUCACUGUAAUAUAAACAAAAGAUGAAGAUGAGAAAUUUCGCUUUACUUUGCGUGUUUAUGUUGACAUUUGAUGUAAAUGGUAAGUUUGUUUUACAUUAUUAUUUUUGCGAGAAACACUCUCUGUAUUAUGUUUUUAUGUUAUAGUUAUCUUGUAAUCUUUGUAUAUUUUUAGGGGGUUAUAUAACCUAGUAUACAACAUGCGUUUCUGAAUGAACCGCCAUCAUAGUAUCCUCAUGAUCGUGUUUGAAAAAGCUUUAAAGCUUUCAAUAACAUUUGCCAGCCACUCCGAAAAGAAAAUAUUAUAACGUCCGUAAUCAAAUGACCAAAUCAAAAGCUCAAACACAUCAAACGAAUAGAUAACAACUGUAAUGUUCCUGACUUGGUAUAGGCAUAUCUAAAUGUAGAAAUGGUGAAUUAAACCUGGUUUUUAUAGCUAAAUCAACCUCUCACUUAUAUGACAGUAUAUAAAUAUCAACUGAUAGUUGUAUUCCUUCACAAUGCAUUAAAUGGUACUUAGUUUCUAAUAAAUAUUUUCAGCUCAACAAUCAUACAGUCCGAUAACUCUCAGUGAGAAUUAUUUAAACAGAGGAUGCCCGAUUCUUAACUGUCCGUACAUAUCAUGUCCUUCUAGAUGUAAAAUGCCAACAUUGUACCGGUACAACGGAAGACUUUGUAGAGGCUGUCAUAUCAAUAUAUGUUCAUCAUACAUACAACCUAUAGACAUGAAAAUUGGAGCCACUCAGUAAAGUAAGUUCAACACCUUUUAAUUUUGCAAUAUUCUAUCCUUCUCAUGGGAAUGGAAAUUUGGUUCGGUGCUUAUUGAGAAACAUCCCCUCUUGUAUCAAUGAGGGUGUGGAUUGGGUUUUCAGAAAAGUACAUGAUGAAUCAAAUCUAUAAACAAAUUAACCAGUCAAAAUAAGACAGUAAUGUGGAUUUAAAAUAUAAAGAAUUCAGAAUAUUAAUUUUUGGAUAAAGUUUAUAAAGAAUAAACAAAACUUACCUACAUGAUAUAAGUAAUACAGAUUUGAAUGGCCAAUCAUCUGGAGCCUCAUCUAUCAUUAUUGUAAUGUUUGGAUUAUUGCAGUUAUUAAUUCCGUUGCUAGACAAAGAGAUGUAUAAUUACCGACGGGACAAUAAGGAUGUUAAUAGCUGCAGAUUAACGAAUAUCAUUACAUAAUUGGCAAAAAAUAUAUAGUAUAUGCUUUUGGUGGUACAGAGAUGACAAUACAAAAUUUAAUUUGAAUAUUAUAAAAUACUAUUUGACUUUAUCAACAUAUCAUACGAAUCAACAUAAGCCACCAGUAUAACACCAGAAGCUGCGAUAAUUGAUGUUUGAAAUUGUAUGUGAUACUAUAAAAGUCAUAUCAUAGAUAUUACAUAAUAUACUAAAAACAAAACAUUUUGAGUGAAAUGUUAUAAAGAUUAUGAUACCAAUAACUAUUCAGACAGAUGAUACCGAAAGAUGUAUAAUAACAACUAAGAGAAGUCAAGUUCAUUAUUUUUUUUUUCAGGUCUUCUUCUUUUUUGUUCAUUUUAGCUUCAUUCGCUAAAUGUUAUUUUAAUCUUAUUUUUUAGGAGUUCACAUCAAAAAGUCUAGCAGAACUAUCCUUACCAUUGUGUGAAAUCCAUAUUUAUGCUGCCAUAAAUUAUUUAGUAACUUUACUUUUCUUUUUUUAAUUUGUAUUUUAAAACAAAUAUUUUUGUAUUUUUAUAGAUUUUGCCUUUUUGUAAUAAAACAUGUUCUCAUCUGAUUGUUUUACUUCCAAAUAGAACUUGAAUCUGUAUUUUAGAAC